UUUGGACUGAAUGGAAUUUUCAUUCUGAAUAUUUUACAAGGUGUCCAUUGUGAUGUUCAGCUGGUAGAGUCUGGGGGUGAUGUGAGACAGCCUGGAGGAUCUCUUAGCCUUUCCUGCAAAGCUUCUGGAUUUACCUUUAGCAGCUAUAGCAUGCACUGGGUCAGCCAGGCUCCAGGGAAGGGACUGGACUGGCUUGCACAUAUCUAUAGUAAUGGAGGAACCACAGACUAUGCAGACUCUGUGAAAGGCAGAUUCACCAUCUCAAACGACAACAGCAACAGCAUGCUGCACCAGCAAAUGAAUUCCCUUAAAGCUGAGGACACAUCCAUGUAUUACUGUGCAAGAGACACAGUGAUAAAAAGGAAUAUGAGACCAGACAUAAACCCCCUCAUUCAGACAGGCCGUGUGGAGAAUGACUUAGAGAGGGAAGACAAGGACAUUGAGCACAAGGAGACCACUUAGA